rfam:Halorientalis sp. IM1011, complete genome.
GAGUGGACUAGGUCGGGCAGUUAGGCCCUGCCCUGAACCCGCGAUAUGGUCUUUAGCGGGGACCGAAGCUCGGGGGCGUCCGGUCAGACGGACGCGGGCCCCGCAAGCCAACGUCGAAGCCUCGUCCUGCGGGGGCGGCGGUCCCCACUGGCUCGCCUGCAGGGGCGAUCCGGUGCGGUUAAUCGGGGACACCCCGUCAGGCGCGGAAGCGAGCAGCGGAUCCCCGGACACCCGUCGCUCGUAGGGUCGCGGGGUGGAGGAGGCACGCGGGAUUACCCGCGCCCGAACGCCGGGCAAUCCCGAGGUCCAUUC